UACGGAGGGGGCUAGCGUUGUUCGGAAUUACUGGGCGUAAAGCGCGCGUAGGCGGACCUGCAAGUCGGGGGUGAAAGCCCGAGGCUCAACCUCGGAACUGCCUUCGAUACUGCGGGUCUCGAGUCCGGGAGAGGUGAGUGGAAUUCCUAGUGUAGAGGUGAAAUUCGUAGAUAUUAGGAAGAACACCAGUGGCGAAGGCGGCUCACUGGCCCGUAAUUGACGCUGAGGCGCGAAAGCGUGGGGAGCAAACAGG
rnacentral:rRNA from 1 species